ACUAACCCCAAAGCACACAUGUAUGGGGUGUGGGAUUCUGAUGAGUGCAGCUAUCGUCAGUUACCUUGCAGGACAACUGUGACUCACUGAAAUGUGUAAUUUUAAACAGAAGUGGUCCUGUAGAGAUUGUCAUCUUGUUGGCAGGAGAAUGGCACCUUACCAAGUAAGAAUGAGGACUGCAAGAGGAGGGGGCACAAGAAGCCUGAGAGGAAGAAAAGCAGUGAGACACCUUCAGUCUUCCAGCCAGUGCCUGGCACAAGGAGCUUACGAAUCCUCAGAACAGAAGAAACAGAGACGAUUGCUGCCUUCAUUUUAGAGACAAAGAGGUGAGGAGAGCCAGGUGAGUAAGCAAAGGAUCCAGACUGCUACUUGAUAAUUUAUUUGCUCCUAAUCCUCAUGCUGUGUGGCCCAGGUGGGUCCCACUGUCUUGGGCAUCUCCGUUGUGUGGCUGUAUCCUCUGCCCUGCAAGGUCCCCUUUUAUGUUCUGUGCAGAAGGGGCCCCAGGGAGGGUGGCCCUCUGACCUCCUGUUUUAUGGUGGCUCUGACUCUAGUGUCUAGCUCAGGAGACUUUACCUCUUCUGGAACGCACCCCUCAUCCUCUUCACUGAUCCCGUCUUCAUUCUCGGUUAAGUUCUCACUCAUCCUAUGGUUUUAGGUGUACAGUCAGUUAUGUGGGCAUGGUUGACAUGACAUGAACUGAAAUGUCACCCAAGUGUGGCUAGCUCUAAUCCUUGCCUCUACUCUUGAUUCUUAUUAGAAAAUUGCUUUUGACAUACAUGUUUUAAAGGUUGCAGAAGUGGCCAAGUGUGAGUGGGUGGGGUGGGAGUGUGGGGCAGAGCCUCUCAUCUCAGAGCGUUGCCCUUUUGUGGGAAUCACAGUCAUCAGCAGUAGCUUGGGUAGGAGAGUGACAAGAAGAAAGGCCUUGCCUAAGGAUUACUUGGAAUAUAAAAGGU
rnacentral:lncRNA from 1 species